rfam:Bacteroidia bacterium 44-10 SCNpilot_bf_inoc_scaffold_9083, whole genome shotgun sequence.
NNNNNNNNGAGUUUGAUCCUGGCUCAGGAUGAACGCUAGCGAUAGGCCUAACACAUGCAAGUCGAGGGGCAGCACAUGAGUAGCAAUACGAUGGUGGCGACCGGCGCACGGGUGAGUAACACGUAUGCAACCUACCUUUAACAGGGGAAUAACCCGUUGAAAAACGGACUAAUACUCCAUAACACAGGGGUCCCGCAUGGGAAUAUUUGUUAAAGAUUUAUCGGUUGAAGAUGGGCAUGCGUUCCAUUAGCUUGUUGGUGAGGUAACGGCUCACCAAGGCUACGAUGGAUAGGGGAACUGAGAGGUUUAUCCCCCACACUGGAACUGAGACACGGUCCAGACUCCUACGGGAGGCAGCAGUGAGGAAUAUUGGUCAAUGGAGGCAACUCUGAACCAGCCAAGUCGCGUGAAGGAUGAAGGUCUUAUGGAUUGUAAACUUCUUUUGCAAGGGAAUAAAGUGGGGGACGUGUCCUCCUUUGCAUGUACCUUGCGAAUAAGGAUCGGCUAACUCCGUGCCAGCAGCCGCGGUAAUACGG